rnacentral:rRNA from 1 species
UGGUUGCGUAAAUUGAGAAAAUAAGUUUAUAGGAGUAAAAGAGAGCUGGAAAUUGAAAAAAUUUGGCGGUAGAAUAGUCUAAUUAGAGGAACCUGUAAAGUAAAUGAUAGUCCCCAAAAAUCUUACUGUGCAAUGUUAUCAGUUUGUAUACCGCCGUUUAGAAUAGUUUUAUAGAAAAAUUUCGAGAUUGGAAGUCUUAAUAAUUCAGGUCAAGGUGCAGUUUAUGGUACAGAUAUUUAUGGGUUACAAUAAAGGAUUUUAGUACGGAUAUAAAAUGAAAGGUUUUAAAUGAAGGUGGAUUUAGAUGUAAAAGAAUAAAAUAAAGAUUUUUUGAAUAGGCACUGAGUUAUGU